rnacentral:rRNA from 1 species
AACGUAGGAGACAAACGUUAUCCGGAGUUACUGGGCGUAAAGGGCGUGUAGGUGGUUUCGUAAGUCUGGCGUGAAAUUUCUCGGCUUAACCGAGGCAGGUCGUCGGAUACUGCGAGGCUAGAGGACGGUAGAGGCGUGUGGAAUUCCGGGUGUAGUGGUGAAAUGCGUAGAGAUCCGGAGGAACACCAGUGGCGAAGGCGACACGCUGAGCCGUACCUGACACUGAUGCGCGACAGCAUGGGGAGCAAACAGG